UUGAACGCUGGCGGCAGGCCUAACACCUGCCAGUCGAGCGGAUGAAGGGAGCUUGCUCCUGGAUUCAGCGGCGGACGGGUGAGUAAUGCCUAGGAAUCUGCCUGGUAGUGGGGGAUAACGUCCGGAAACGGGCGCUAAUACCGCAUACGUCCUGAGGGAGAAAGUGGGGGAUCUUCGGACCCCACGCUAUCAGAUGAGCCUAGGUCGGAUUAGCUAGUUGGUGGGGUAAAGGCCUACCAAGGCGACGAUCCGUAACUGGUCUGAGAGGAUGAUCAGUCACACUGGAACUGAGACACGGCCCAGACUCCUACGGGAGGCAGCAGUGGGGAAUAUUGGACAAUGGGCGAAAGCCUGAUCCAGCCAUGCCGCGUGUGUGAAGAAGGUCUUCGGAUUGUAAAGCACUUUAAGUUGGGAGGAAGGGCAGUAAGUUAAUACCUUGCUGUUUUGACGUUACCAACAGAAUAAGCACCGGCUAACUUCGUG
rnacentral:rRNA from 1 species